rnacentral:rRNA from 1 species
UAGGGAAUCUUCGGCAAUGGACGAAAGUCUGACCGAGCAACGCCGCGUGAGUGAAGAAGGUUUUCGGAUCGUAAAACUCUGUUGUUAGAGAAGAACAAGGACGUUAGUAACUGAACGUCCCCUGACGGUAUCUAACCAGAAAGCCACGGCUAACUACGUGCCAGCAGCCGCGGUAAUACGUAGUUGGCAAGCGUUUUCCGGAUUUAUUGGGCGUAAAGCGAGCGCAGGCGGUUUCUUAAGUCUGAUGUGAAAGCCCCCGGCUCAACCGGGGAGGGUCAUUGGAAACUGGGAGACUUGAGUGCAGAAGAGGAGAGUGGAAUUCCAUGUGUAGCGGUGAAAUGCGUAGAUAUAUGGAGGAACACCAGUGGCGAAGGCGGCUCUCUGGUCUGUAACUGACGCUGAGGCUCGAAAGCGUGGGGAGCAAACAGG